rnacentral:rRNA from 1 species
UACGUAGGGCGCAAGCGUUAUCCGGAAUUAUUGGGCGUAAAGAGCUCGUAGGCGGUUUGUCGCGUCUGCCGUGAAAGUCCGGGGCUCAACUCCGGAUCUGCGGUGGGUACGGGCAGACUAGAGUGAUGUAGGGGAGACUGGAAUUCCUGGUGUAGCGGUGAAAUGCGCAGAUAUCAGGAGGAACACCGGUGGCGAAGGCGGUUCUCUGGGCCUGUACUGACGCUGAGAAACGAAAGCGUGGGGAGCGAACAGG